rnacentral:rRNA from 1 species
AUCAACUUUCGAUGGUAGGAUAGAGGCCUACCAUGGCUAUAACGGGUAACGGGGAAUUAGGGUUCGAUUCCGGAGAGGGAGCCUGAGAAACGGCUACCACUUCCAAGGAAGGCAGCAGGCGCGCAAAUUACCCAAUCCCGACACGGGGAGGUAGUGACAAUAAAUAACAAUACGGGGCUCUUUCGGGUCUCGUAAUUGGAAUGAGUACAAUUUAAAUCCCUUAACGAGGAACAAUUGGAGGGCAAGUCUGGUGCCAGCAGCCGCGGUAAUUCCAGCUCCAAUAGCGUAUAUUAAAGUUGUUGCAGUUAAAAAGCUCGUAGUUGAAUUUCGGGAUUGACGUGAUGGUCAUGCCUUAAGGGGUAUGAACUGUUACUGUUGAUUUCUCACCUUCUGGAGAAACUUGAUGUCCUUUAUUGGGUGUCUUGCGGAUCCAGGACCUUUACCUUGAAAAAAUUAGAGUGUUUAAAGCAGGCAUUUUUGCUCGAAUACAUUAGCAUGGAAUAAUAGAAUAGGACGGUAUGGUUCUAUUUUGUUGGUUUCUAGGAUCACCGUAAUGAUUAAUAGGGAUAGUUGGGGGCAUUAGUAUUCAAUUGUCAGAGGUGAAAUUCUUGGAUUUAUUGAAGACUAACUACUGCGAAAGCAUUUGCCAAGGAUGUUUUCAUUAAUCAAGAACGAAAGUUAGGGGAUCGAAGACGAUCAGAUACCGUCGUAGUCUUAACCAUAAACUAUGCCGACUAGGAAUCAGACGAUGUUAAUUUUUUAAUGACUCGUUUGGCACCUUACGGGAAACCAAAGUGUUUGGGUUC